AUUGGAUGAAGUCACAGAAAACCAAAAGAACAUUUUUUUCUUAUUCCUUUUUUUUUUUUAAUGUGAUAAGAAAUCUGGAGACAGAUGGUGGAGGGCAGAUACUGUGGCUCACAGUGCCAACUGGGAGCCAGCUGCUAUGUCUUCCUGUGCACUCACCCUUAGCGUGUGGAUUUUGACCUAUGCUUGCUGCCUCAUGGACACAAGAUGGCCACUCCACUUCCGCAUCACAUUUGGGCAAAAGGGAUAUGCUGACUGAUUGCUCCUUUUUUACACAGCUUUCCUGGAAGUCCUUUUCAGUGCCUUCCAUGUAAACCUUGUUGGUCAGAGCCAUCUUAUAUGCCAGGUUUGAACAGCAUGGGUACAGUUAUAUGUGGAUUUUCUUCUGGCUCUGCCAUCCGUGAAACAGCAAGACCAACCCCUCUCUUCCUCAUCCUCCUCAGCCCACCCCGCUUGAAGACAUUGACAUUGAAGAAUUUUAUGAUGAUCCACUUUCACUGGACAAAUGCUGAAAUCUCAACAAAGCAUAUGUUUGCUUCUUGCUCACAUGUCCGAUGCAGUUCAAUAGAAGCUUGCCUCCAUCUGAUGACCUAGGAAUCUAGGCUCUUUCCAUGUUUUAAUACUGCCAUCUCAACAUGUGGCUUUCAAGGUCAUUUUGACUGAGGAAGGAAGAUGUGGAGAAGACUCAGUGGCUCCUAACUGCUUUGACGCAGGUUGUCUCCAGUGCUCUAGUACAAAACAAGAUCAUAUGUUGGCUUUGAGGAGCUCCUGAUCUUUAUUUCUAUGAGGAUACUGCUAAUUAACAAUCUGGCAGGGGGCUUAACUCAGUUACUAGUUUAGGGAUUUCUAUCUGUGUUCUCUGAAUUUUCCAGGAGUGCAGCCUGACACAAGGCAUAGGCCCUGGCAGCAUGAAUAGUAGCUGUCUAGUAGCUAAGGCCCCUCUGCAGGAGAGAUGGGUGCUGGCUGAAACUACGGCACUAAGCCUAGCUAUAAUCUAGGGUGCAUUUAUUCCCUGAUACCUCUCCUAGCAACUAAUCUCAUGGAAGUCUCUACCUGCUUUUAACCACUCAGUUGAAAUCCAUUCAUUAAUUUCCAUUUAUUUUAUGGUGUUUAUAUAUGGAUGUACUUUUAUUAGUUUUUAAGACUAUAUAUUUUUAAGCUUAAAAAAUAUUUUUAUAUUCCCUCUAUGUGUUUGGAGCAGUUAAGGGAGUUGAAAUGCUCAGGGGAUGAAAUAAUGAGUUUAUUGUUUUUGCUUGGUUGGAUGCCGUUGCAUAUAAAAUACUCCACAUAAAUAUUUGCUAAACUAAUUGGUGCUAAGUUGCACUUAAUAUCCAACAUUAUAGUGGUAUUCUACUGAGUUAUUUUUUUCUUCUUACUUUCAGCUUUAUGUAGUAUAUCAAACAAAAAUUAAUGUCUUUAUUAGGGUAACAAAAAUUAAUUUGGGGGGAUAACCUUCAGGCAUCUUUCAGGAGAUAAGACCAUUUGAUGGCAUCUUCAGAACUGAGCUAUGCACAUUUCUUUACCAGCCUUGUUAUUUUGUUUACAUAUUUCCCUGUAGCAAAUAUAAAUAUUAGAGAUUACAUUUUAUGCUAUUACCUUGGAAAUAUCAACUUUCUACUAUUUUCAACUGUAUCAGUAGCAACUCUUGUCUCCUGAUGGUAGGCAAGGUAAAACUAUCUUUAGACUAUGUGGACAAACUCUUAUUUGAACUGAGUUUUAUUCUUUGAUCAAUCAACAGAUUGAUGUCUCUCAAUGUCAAAAGUCUCACAAAACUUCAAAGACAUAUAGCACCGAGUUUGAUCUUAAAAAUACAAAAUAAAAGGUUUUUUAAUCUUAGGAAUAAGUCCUGUUUUUUAUCUUAUAUACUAGUGAAUUAAAAAUAUUAUGAGAGCAUGCCUAUAGGCCAUCCAAAUUAAAAAAUGAAAUUGAAAUUAAUUAAAAAGUAAAAAGCUCUUUUAGGAGAAUGCUAACUCAUAAAUGUUACAAGGUAGAAAAAUAAUUUUGUAACCAUAAUAGUAAUGUAAGAAAUACCAGACAAGAAACAUCAAUGGAUAUUACACUUAGUGGGUAAACGUUUAAUGGGAAACAGGCUAUUUAGAGUGUGUCAAAAUAUUUUCUUACAAAUUAGUUAAUUACUAAGGGAAUAUAGAGUAACUUUAUGAUGGGGAAAUCUAUUAGACACCCCCUUAACCAGGUGGCGAAAAUUUAAAUCACCAAUAAAAGAACAAAUGAAUGUCAUCCCUGAUAUGAUACACUGAGAAGGACACAUUGUUUCUGUGCUAUUCUUGCUGACGUUACAUAACCUGCAACUAAUCAUGAGGAAAAAUUAAACUCAAGCUGAGUUUCAUUCUACAAACUAUUCCCUGUAUUCUGUAAAAAAUGUCAAGAUUAAGAACCACGAAGAAAGGUUGAGAAACAAGUCCAAACAAAUGAGACAAAGGUGACAUGACAAUCAAUUGCAGUGUGUGAUCCUGGACUGAAUCCUGAACCUGGAGGAAAAAUAACUAUUAAAUAAUUUGAAGACAAUUGAAAAAAACUUAGUAUGACUGUGAAUUAUAAGAUAGCAUUAUAUCAAUUUUAAUUUCCUGAUUUUAAUCAGUGUUCUGUGUUUAUAUAAGAUAAUCUUAUUGGUCUGAGGAAUACACUGGGGUGUUAAGGGGAAAAAGGUAUGAUGUCUGAAAUUUACAACAGUUUAGUAAAAAUGUAUAAGUAAGUGUGUGUGUGUGUGUGUGUAUGUGUGUGUAGAUGGAAAGGAAAUGAAUGAUAAAGUAAAUGAGGCAAUAUGUAAACAUUUGUGAAUCUGGGAAAAGGGUAUAUGGAUGCUCUCUAUAGUAAUCUCACAACUUUUCCUAUGCUUGAAAUUGUAUUAAAGCAAUAUGUUACCUCAAAAAUAUUUGCAUUAAGAUGCUAAACAUUUAUUCAAAAAAUACUGCAAAGAAAUUAAUACUUUUGCUUAAAUCAAUUUUGGGACACUAAAAAUAUUGCCUUUAAGUAUAAUUUGCCACUUCAAACACACACACAUAUACUACUAUAGGCAUAUUUCAUUUUCUCGUGCUUUGCUU
rnacentral:lncRNA from 1 species